UGGUGGGUAGUUUGACUGGGGCGGUCUCCUCCUAAAGAGUAACGGAGGAGCACGAAGGUUGGCUAAUCCUGGUCGGACAUCAGGAGGUUAGUGCAAUGGCAUAAGCCAGCUUGACUGCGAGCGUGACGGCGCGAGCAGGUGCGAAAGCAGGUCAUAGUGAUCCGGUGGUUCUGAAUGGAAGGGCCAUCGCUCAACGGAUAAAAGGUACUCCGGGGAUAACAGGCUGAUACCGCCCAAGAGUUCAUAUCGACGGCGGUGUUUGGCACCUCGAUGUCGGCUCAUCACAUCCUGGGGCUGAAGUAGGUCCCAAGGGUAUGGCUGUUCGCCAUUUAAAGUGGUACGCGAGCUGGGUUUAGAACGUCGUGAGACAGUUCGGUCCCUA
rnacentral:rRNA from 25 species